UACAGAGGUCCCGAGCGUUGUUCGGAUUUAUUGGGCGUAAAGGGUGCGUAGGUGGCAAAGCAAGUUGGAUGUGAAAUCCUGGGGCUCAACCUCAGAAUUGCAUUCAAUACUGCUUAGCUAGAGAGCUGUAGAGGAGACUGGAAUUUACGGUGUAGCAGUGAAAUGCGUAGAUAUCGUAAGGAACGCCAGUGGCGAAAGCGAGUCUCUGGGCAGCAGCUGACACUGAGGCACGAAGGCCAGGGGAGCAAACGGG
rnacentral:rRNA from 1 species